UUUUUAUUAAAAUUAAUUUUAGUUUGAUUAUUUAUUUGGAAAUAAUUAUUUAUUAUAAUAGAUUAUUUAUUUGUGAAAUAAUUAAUUUAAAUUUAAUUAAAAGAAAAAUUAAUUUUUUGUACCUUGGGUAUCAGGGUUUAAUAAUUUGAAAAAUAUAUAAUUUUUAUCUCGAAUUUAAAAGAGCUAUGAUUAUGUUUGGAUUUAUUGUUGAAUAAAUAUAAUUAAUUUAAUUAUAGAAAUGAAAUGUUAUUCGUUUUUAAUUUUAUCUAGUUUUCUAAGAAAUAAAUUUAAUUUAUUUAUUUGGAAUAAUUUUAUUUUUUAUAUAUUUUUAUUAAAAAUAGAUAAUUUUAUAAGGGAUUAGCUUUAUAAAAAAUUAAUUAUUAAUUGUAAAAAAAAUAAUUUUUUUUAUUUAUGAAUAAAAUUUUCUUUGUUAUUGUAUUUUAUAAUUAUUAAAAGAUUUUAUUAUUAUUUAUAUAGUUUAUAAUUAUUUUAUUAGAAUUUAUUUUUUAAUAUUAAAAAUUUAGUAAAAAUGUUAAAAUUAGUAGAAUUGUUAAUGUAUUUAUAUAAUUGAAUAUAUUGAUUAAAAUAAGGAAUUCGGCAAAUAUUUUUUCACCUGUUUAAUAAAAACAUGUCUUAUUUGUGUAAAGAUUUUAGGUCUGACCUGCCCAUUGAUUUAUAUUUAACGGCCGCAGUAAUUUGACUGUGCUAAGGUAGCAUAAUCAUUAGUUUUUUAAUUGAAAACUGGAAUGAAAGGUUAGAUGAAAAAAAUACUGUCUCUUUUUGAUUUUUUGAAUUUUAUUUUUAAGUUAAAAAUCUUAAAUUAUAUUAAAAGACGAGAAGACCCUUUAGAGUUUUAUAUAUGAAUAAGAUUAGUUUAUUAGAAUAUAUUGAAAAUUUUGUUUUUAUAUUUGGUUGGGGUGAUUAUUAAAUAAAUUUAACUUUAAUUUUUUUUUACAAUAAUUUUUGAAUUUUUUGAUCUAUUUAUAAUGAUUAUUAGAUAAAAUUACCUAAGGGAUAACAGCGUAAUUUUUUUGGAGAGUUCUUAUUGAUAAAAAAGAUUGCGACCUCGAUGUUGGAUUAAAGUAAAAAAUUGGUGUAGAUGCUAAUUUUUUUAGUCUGUUCGACUAUUAAAACUUUACAUGAUCUGAGUUUAGACCGGCGUGAGCCAGGUUGGUUUCUAUCUUUAGUUAAAAUUUAUAUUUUAGUACGAAAGGACCAAAUUUUUGUUAUAAUAAUAUUUGUUUGAAUAUUUAUA
rnacentral:rRNA from 1 species